ACGCUUAACCUUAACCACUCUGCGCGAGCCGGUGACCUUGAACGGUCGUAUUAAAACCACCAGCGGACCACCGCCCCUGCAUCCCGCCUAUCGGCCCGAGAUUAAACGGAAAAAAAUAACACUUGUUUGUUAUUUUAUUUUCCCCCCCUCCACCGGCCGGACGAGUUGUUGCAGUUGUUCUGUAGUAGUUGUCCGUCCGUCGACUCGGUAGCCGCUCGCGCGCAUAAUAAUAAUAUAAUAUUUUUGUUUAUAUAUGUAUAUAUUGUAGCACAUAAGUACAUACCUUGCACGUAGGUAUGUUAUUAAUAAUAAUAAUAAUAAAUCUGGUAGGCACUAAUCCUCCGCGAUCGCCAACAGGCCCGAGUCCGAGAUUUCCUACCUCGAUUAUUAUUACAAUAUUCUCGUUCGCAACGGUCUUAAGACUCCAGAGAGUGUGCUCAACCGAUCACCACCGUCGGCCAGUAUAACGAUUUGAUAUUUGAAAUACGAUCGCAGUUGUAGUUAUCAACAGCGAUGUGUACGUCCCGCCGCGAUUUAAGAUAAUAUUUUAUCUUAAGUCGUGCGUCCCGCGAAUUAAAAUAUAACAUUUUUAACCGUGGUCCAUCCGUUCGGCUAUGAAAGACGUUGUUGACGUAUUAUCGUGAUAAAUUAUUUAUCAUGGAAUAAAGUUAAUAGGAGACUAGGUAGUUGUAGUAGGGCACUAUAGGAUAAUAGGUAUGUUAAGCCACCAUUUUGCGAAUAAUUUAUUACGUAUAAUAUUGUGGAACUACGAAGCUGCCGCGUUUAUUUUAUCACUGAUAAACGAGUCGAAAAAUGGCGGUUUAGCAUACCCAUAUAUAUUUAGUGCUUUAGUAGUAGGUACCUACCUAAUAUAGCUUCGUGAUGAGUAAAAAUUAAUUUUUAGAAGUUGACUAUAAUUAUAAAUGUGCGGAUGCAGUAAAUGUAAUGUACAUGUUGCAUUAUGAACUUAAUAAUUUUCUUAAAAUAUUUAAUUAAGGAAAUCGAAACACUUUUAUUUUCCUUUGAGGUGAUGACAAACACAAAAAAAUAAAAAUAAAGGUUGCAAAAUAAAUAAAAUCAAUACAUUCAUUGUUGUUUAGAAUCUAAAAUAUAUUUAUUACUAUGUAAUAUUAAAUAACAACAUACAACCUGUGUAUCAAUAAUUAUAUAUAUAAUGAAAUGCCUUUUAUUGCCUUUUUUUACAUUUUAAUGUUUUUUUUUUUAUUAUAUUGCCUUCAAAUUCUAACCCUAAUUAUAACUAUUAAGCUUUAUGUGUACAAGAAUAAAGCCUUUGAAAGAAAUUUUGAAGAAGUUGAUUUUAUAAAUUAUUGGUUAAUACUUAAUGGUUAGUAAUUUGUAGGUACUUGUAUCGAAUCCAAAUAUCCAAUUUUAUUUUUAAAUACUGUAUCAAAUUUAUCAAUAUACAUUAUCAGCAGUUCAGUUUGUAAAGAUAAGAGAUAAUUUUGAUAAGAGCAUGAGGCCGCCAUCUUGCAGCCAUUCGGCGUUUUCUGUCUUUAGACGCUUGUACAAUGUGUCGGCGCCUUCCUCGAAAUUAUAUUUUAAAAAUAUAAUAAUAAAAUUUAACUAUAUAAUUAAUUAUACCUAUAUUGUAAUAUCGAAUUGUGCAGCAAGUUUUCGGCAUUCUCGAUGGUUUUCGGACAAGUGCUUAUCAGUUAUUGAUAAGAUAUGUUGAUAGUAGGAAUAACAUGCGCCUACGGAACUUGGAACUAGCUGCAAGUGAUCCACUCGUCUAUCCACGGCCCGGCAGCUGAUAUGAUCCGCAAGUACAUAACUAGACAACGGAGCUUGUCUUGGACAAAAAUUAUUAUCGCUUCUGGAAUAGGAGUGUUAGGCGGAGUUUACGUUUGGAAGCCGUUUUUCGAAUCUUUGGACUCCGACCGCCCCAAGAAAAUUAAGGAAGAAUGAAUAAGAAUGCAAAAACCGUUCAACCUGGUGGUGCACUCACCGGCAAUUUCAACAAAAUUAUAGCAUUUGUUGGUUUAGGUUGGUUUGCAUCCAUGGUGCUUGUUAGAUACGUAAUAAAACCAUAUAGAACAGAAUCAAGGAUGAAAGAAAAUGAAGCGCUUAUGAAUCAGCUUUACAAUGCACAAAAAUCACAAGAAAAUAAAAUAAGUGAAUUUGAUCUUGAUGAUUAAAAAUCAUUAAUAUUUUAUCAAUGUUUCAACCUUUAUGGUAUCAACUCAUGUUUUGUUAAAUAGAAUAGUAAAUACAUUUAGUUUAAUAUUUUUGUUUAUCUAUAUACAUUAAAUGUUAUAACCAUUUUGAAUCAAAUAGUAUUUAAGUAUAUAACUGUAAAUGUUUAAAAUAAAAAAAAAAAAAAUAAUUAUUUUUUUUUUUAAACCAAUUGAUUUUAUUUUUUAAGUACUUAGGUUUAAAUACUAAGGUUUGCAUUAUUUGUAGUAAUAACCACAGAAAAGAAUAACUAACUGACCUAGUUUGGUAUAUUGAGCAUUAUUUACGAAUACUUUAUAGUUUCAAGUACAUAGAAUAAUGUCAUUUAUAAAACCAAUAAAUUUUACUAAACCAACUGCACAGUAUAUAAAUUACAAGAUGGAUUUAAUAUUUAUUAAUUUGUACAUGUAUGCUAAACUUUUUUUUGAUUAUAGUUAGUUAUAUAUUAUUUACUUAGCUUCUUGAGUAAUAUUCAUUAACAACUUUCACUAUUUUGCUAUUUAAUCGUUAAAUGAAAUAAAACAUUUGAUUCUUAUUUAAUUCUUAGCAUUAUCAAUGGUGUUUUAGUAGAAGUUAUUUUUUAUAACAAUUUAACCUAAAAACAUUUUAAAAAGUAAUUACUAAAUGUUAUAUUUUUGAUACACCUUAAAUUACCAAUAAAUAUUUUAUUAUUAAUAA